rnacentral:rRNA from 1 species
GACGAACGCUGGCGGCGUGCUUAACACAUGCAAGUCGAACGGAAAGGCCCUGCUUUUGUGGGGUGCUCGAGUGGCGAACGGGUGAGUAACACGUGAGUAACCUGCCCUUGACUUUGGGAUAACUUCAGGAAACUGGGGCUAAUACCGGAUAAGAGCUCCUGCUGCAUGGUGGGGGCUGGAAAGUUUCGGCGGUUGGGGAUGGACUCGCGGCUUAUCAGCUUGUUGGUGGGGUAGUGGCUUACCAAGGCUUUGACGGGUAGCCGGCCUGAGAGGGUGACCGGCCACAUUGGGACUGAGAUACGGCCCAGACUCCUACGGGAGGCAGCAGUGGGGAAUAUUGCACAAUGGGCGGAAGCCUGAUGCAGCAACGCCGCGUGCGGGAUGACGGCCUUCGGGUUGUAAACCGCUUUCGCCUGUGACGAAGCGUGAGUGACGGUAAUGGGUAAAGAAGCACCGGCUAACUACGUG